rnacentral:rRNA from 1 species
AUUGAACGCUGGCGGCAUGCUUUACACAUGCAAGUCGAACGGCAGCGCGGGCUUCAGCCUGGCGGCGAGUGGCGAACGGGUGAGGAAUUCAUCGGAACGUGCCCAUUAGUGGGGGAUAACCCGGCGAAACCCGGACUAAUACCGCAUACGACCUGCGGGUGAAAGCGGGGGACCGAAAGGCCUCACGCUGAUUGAUCGGCCGAUGUCCGAUUAGCUAGUUGGUGCGGUAAAGGCUUACCAAGGCGACGAUCCGUAGCUGGUCUGAGAGGACGACCAGCCACACUGGGACUGAGACACGGCCCAGACUCCUACGGGAGGCAGCAGUGGGGAAUUUUGGACAAAGGGGGCAAGCCUGAUCCAGCCAUGCCGCGUGCGGGAAGAAGGCCUUCGGGUUGUAAAGCGCUUUUGUUCGGGAAGAAAUCCUUUGGGCUAAUACCCUGGGGGGAUGACGGUACCGGAAGAAUAAGCACCGGCUAACUACGUG